UACGUAGGGGGCAAGCGUUGUCCGGAUUUAUUGGGCGUAAAGAGCGUGUAGGCGGUUUGGUAGGUCCGUUGUGAAAACCCGAGGCUCAACCUCCAGCCUGCAGUGGGUACGGGCAGACUAGAGUACUGCAGGGGAGACUGGAAUUCCUGGUGUAGCGGUGGAAUGCGCAGAUAUCAGGAGGAACACCGGUGGCGAAGGCGGGUCUCUGGGCAGUAACUGACGCUGGAGGAGCGAAAGCGUGGGGAGCGAACAGG
rnacentral:rRNA from 1 species